rnacentral:rRNA from 1 species
GGCGAACGGGUGAGUAACACGUGGGUGAUCUGCCCUGCACUUCGGGAUAAGCCUGGGAAACUGGGUCUAAUACCGGAUAGGACGAUGGUUUGGAUGCCAUUGUGGAAAGUUUUUCGGUGUGGGAUGAGCUCGCGGCCUAUCAGCUUGUUGGUGGGGUAAUGGCCUACCAAGGCGUCGACGGGUAGCCGGCCUGAGAGGGUGUACGGCCACAUUGGGACUGAGAUACGGACCAG